CCCACACCUUCUCUCCCACCGCUAACUGUGUAAGAAGCUCCACUAAAUAUUGCUCCUGCCCACUCUGACUCCCUCCUAAAUGGUAGUACAUGAUGUUGUAAUGCUCCACCUGUGCAAGCUCUUGAAGAAGCUGACAAAGUCUAUCUCCAUGAAGGCUCAACGAGGUACCAUUCAGGCCACAACUCUCUAUUUCCCUGUUCUCACUCUUUGAACAUCAUCCACUUCCCAGCAUGCAAAUGGCAAUGGCCUAUGCCACUGGGUUAGAAACAGGGAGGAACAACAGCUUUGCUGAAGCAGAUGUCAUACCAGCUGUCUUGUCCUCCUCCGCCAGCGAUCAGCCACCUUUCUGCUUGGGUUCUUUUCAGGAUCGUCACCGAGCCCCGGACAGCCUCCAACUGCAGUUCGUUUGCAGUAAUGUUCCCAGGAGGGAGGCUGGACAGCUGGUUCGUGAAGGACUUGGGCAAAAAUCUUACCGCAGCUGACCCCAAGAGAAGAAAGUAUGUUUAACCACUGAGAAGAAACAUUUUUGGAAAAGUGCCUCUCAAUUGUUUUUACAAUGUCGAACAAGGUAGAUGGAUGUAACACUACAAGAAAGAAGGUUGCACAUUUCAGCAGAACGAAUAAAGCAAACUUUUCCCACUCC
rnacentral:lncRNA from 1 species